rnacentral:rRNA from 1 species
UACGGAGGAUGCGAGCGUUAUCCGGAUUUAUUGGGUUUAAAGGGUGCGUAGGCGGGCUUUUAAGUCAGCGGUAAAAAUUCGGGGCUCAACCCCGUCCGGCCGUUGAAACUGGGGGUCUUGAGUGGGCGAGAAGAAGGCGGAAUGCGUGGUGUAGCGGUGAGAUGCAUAGAUAUCACGCAGAACCCCGAUUGCGAAGGCAGCCUUCCGGCGCCCUACUGACGCUGAGGCACGAAAGUGCGGGGAUCGAACAGG